UGGAGGAGGAAGCACGUGAGAACGCGCCGGCGCGGGUCGAAUCGAGCACCGCGAGCCAAACCGGCUGCAGCCCAGACGCGUGUCUUUGCAGCCUCGUUACUUGGGAGCAAGAUCCGCUCUGCUCAGUGGGAGGUUUCCAAGGAUGACCUGCGCAGUCCAGGUCUAGCCGGCUAGUUUCGUGGAGCUUCAAAACUGACUGAAGGAACGGAGGCAGAUCGCCCUGGCUGGAAGGAAAGACCCGUACGGCAGCUUUCGGCCUGUUGACCGCAGGAUCUAGAUCAGGCAACCCAAAUGUCUGGCCGGGUGCCCCAAGAAGAAGAGGGGAACAGCGUGAAGAGCCAAGAGAAAGAGGAGCUGAAUCAGAAGAUUAGGGAGCAGAAAGUCGUCGUCGAUGAACUUUCCAACUUGAAGAAAAACCGGAAAGUGUACAAACAGCAGCCCAACAGCUACAUAUAUUUCCUAGCGGACAGGACCCAAACGCUUUCAGAAAGUAAAAGUAGGUUCCCGU